rnacentral:rRNA from 1 species
UACGUAGGGACCAAGCGUUGUUCGGAUUUACUGGGCGUAAAGGGCGCGUAGGCGGCGUGGUAAGUCAGCUGUGAAAUCUCCGAGCUUAACUCGGAACGGUCAGCUGAUACUGCUGUGCUAGAGUACAGAAGGGGCAAUCGGAAUUCUUGGUGUAGCGGUGAAAUGCGUAGAUAUCGAGAGGAACACCUGCGGCGAAGGCGGGUAGCUGGGCCGACACUGACGCUGAGGCGCGAAAGCCAGGGGAGCGAACGGG